rnacentral:lncRNA from 1 species
GAUUUGUUUUAUUCAUAACAUUUGUUUAGAAACUAUUAAUAUAAUCCUGCAAUGUAGUUCUAAAAUUUUAUCUGCUCCAAGGUGUUGUCAGAUUAUGAAAGAAUUAAUGAACAUGCCUAACUUUGUCAUAUAAAAAACCCAUCUUAAUAUGUCUCUAGACAAAACAACAUGAAAUUGUCGUCUGCUGAUGGGGAAAGGGGG